ACACAUCAGACGGAUGCAGUUCUAGCAUGCGAGUUUCCUUACUUUUGAAAUUAUUACUUCCUACAUUGGACCAAUGAUGAUCCAGAAUUCUUAAGGGGACUGGAACAUGUCCGCCAUUGGGGAUACAGCCAUAAGGAAGGGCAGGAAGGAAUUCUGAAGGGAAGGAAUGGCCGUACGUCCUCAUUCCUGGCGAAGCUGACAGAGGGUGAACAUCUAUGUGAUCUAGUGAAAAAUAAUUGAAGAAUGUGGAAAGUCGUAUCCAAAUUCACUCUAAAAAUGAAUUGUGUAAUCAAAUUUUUCAAUGAUCAUGGAUGAUCUUUGGAACUUUUAUAAUUUGGGUACACAAAAUGGAUGGCGCAAACGACUGACAGUCUAGUGUUCAGUAAACGAAAAAGAAAAAUAUUCACAAAAACGUGAGGCCAGCUAAAACAAAAAUGAAGCCCCGAAGAAAAUACUUCGAUCUAACCCCGUACAUGUACUUUCAUAAGUAAUAAACGAUCGAAAAUAAAUUUUGUCUAGAUUCUAAUUGAAAAAAAAA